GACCUGGUGGCGUAACUGGUAACACGCGCAUUUGUAGUACUGUGAAAAGUCACAGUGACUCGUAAUCCUCCAAAUGCGAGACCCUCGUUCGAUUCGAGGUCAGGUCA